rnacentral:rRNA from 1 species
UUGACUGUGCAAAGGUAGCAUAAUCAUUAGUUUUUUAAUUAGAAGCUAGAAUGAAUGGUCGGACGAGAUAUAAUCUGUCUCUAGGUAAUAAAUAGAAUUUAAUUUUUAAGUUAAAAAGCUUAAAUAAUAAUAAAAGACGAGAAGACCCUAUAGAUUUUUAUAUUAUUGAUUGUAUUAUAGAUUAAGAUUAUUUUAUUUAUUAUAUUUAAUAUUAUUUUAUUGGGGUAAUAAGGAGAUUAAAUUAAUUCUCUUGUUUAUUUUACAAUAAUGUUUGAUUUAUUUGAUCCUUUUAUAGAGAUUAAAAGAUUAAGUUACCUUAGGGAUAACAGCGUAAUUUUUUUGAAGAGUUCAUAUCGAUAAAAAAGUUUGCGACCUCGAUGUUGGAUUAAAAAUUAUUCUAGGAGUAGAAGUUUAGAAAUUUGGUCUGUUCGACCAUUAAAUUUUUACAUGAUCUGAGUUCAGACCGGUGUAAGCCAGGUCGGUUUCUAUCUUUAUUUAGUGAAUAUAUUUUAGUACGAAAGGACCAGAUAUUUAAUAUAUUGAUAUUUAUUUUUUGAAUAAUA